rnacentral:rRNA from 1 species
UGGGGAAUAUUGCACAAUGGGCGCAAGCCUGAUGCAGCCAUGCCGCGUGUAUGAAGAAGGCCUUCGGGUUGUAAAGUACUUUCAGCGAGGGGGAAGGCAUUGUGGUUAAUAACCGCAGUGAUGGACGUUACUCGCAGAAGAAGCACCGGCUAACUCCGUGCCAGCAGCCGCGGUAAUACGGAGGGUGCAAGCGUUAAUCGGAAUUACUGGGCGUAAAGCGCACGCAGGCGGUCGGUCAAGUCGGAUGUGAAAUCCCCGGGCUCAACCUGGGAACUGCAUUCGAAACUGGCAGGGUAGAGUCUUGUAGAGGGGGGUAGGAUUCCAGGUGUAGCGGUGAGAUGCGUAGAGAUCUGGAGGAAUACCGGUGGCGAAGGCGGCGCCCUGGACAAAGACUGACGCUCAGG